rnacentral:lncRNA from 11 species
CUUGUCGUGGUGAGGGGGCUUGCGUGUUCCGAUGAACCUGCGGGCACAACCACUGGAGUCAUGCACUCCCAGGUGUGGCCACAGGGGAGGAUCCAGACCAAGCACAAUCCGAAGACCCAAAGACCUCAACAGCGGAGCAGGCGGAGGAUAACAUGGUACAUGUUACAACGGCUGUGAAGGCGGAAGCAGGCUGCAACAGACCGAGAAGCCACUCUCGUUGUGUUAACCACACCACUGCUGGAACCUCACUCUGUGAAGAUUGUGUGUUGACCGGCCAUGCACCGACCUCCACACAUAAAAAAAAAAUCACGCACACGCGUCUUCCAAGACAGAGAGAUUUGACAUCCCGAGAAAGAGGCUUCUACUGCCCACAUAAGACAAGGAAAUAGAGGAACAAAGAAAGAAGAGGUGUGUGGGAAGCAGUGAAGUCACACCUGAAAGUAUCCAUCUGUACAUAAGGAACAAAAACAAAAGCGGAAAGGAAAAAAGGGGAAACAUACCUCAUACCAGAGAACGGCAUAUUCACAAGGAAGGGAGUUUCAAUCAACACUGCAGUUCUUUGUCACAGGAGUCCAGAGACAAAGCACACAAUCAGCUUGCUCGUUUUAUCUAUAUAUAUCUCCCCUCUCUUUUGCCUGUCAGAUUUUGGCAGAUAAGCAUCAAUGAUAUUAGGUAUUCAACAGUAUUGGCCAAAAUUAAAAUAAUCUAGUGACGUCAAAGACAACAGGACUAAAGUACUUAGCUGCAGUUUGAUGUAAAAUUCAAAUUCAAAAUGAUACCUACAACUGGAAAAAGUCAUCUAUAUUAUUUGGGAAGCAAUACUGUAAAUGUUGCCAGAUAUCAGAUAUCAGUAAAUAUAUUAAGAAAAAUAAAUGGACCUCCUCCCAAAACAUAGCAGAAAUGCAAAGAGCUGCAAGUGCAAAUGUUCUCACC